CUAGGUCUUGGUUCAGGCUUUACUGGAGCCUGGCACUUAUCCGAUCGGUGGCCUCCGCCCAUGGCUUGUUAGGUGGCUGGUUCGGGUCAUUCCCAAUGUCCCCACUGCAGCCCCGUUCCAGCCAUUCCAUGUGCCAGCUUUUAACUCUGCUCUGGCCACCAUGUUCCCUUCCUGUCUCCAUUGUUCAGACACUACAAAAGUGCCCAGAGUUCGUUGUUGCCCAGCAAGACUCAGACCAGGGGGCGGCAGGUCCCUCUCUUGCAGGUUCUCUACAGCUGUUUCCAACCAUCUGUGCUGUCCCGGGGCCUGCCGUAAGCAACCCAGGAGCACUUUCCCCUGUGGGCCCAUGGGGCAGAGUCUGCAGCCGGAGCCGUCUGGGGAGAGGAGCGGUGGAAGGAAGCCGUUCAAGAUAGCAGAGGAGGGCUCUGAGCUGGAAAGGGGCCUCCAUGCUAUCGUGGGCAGUUUCUACAGAUACGCCGAGGGCUCCGAGGGACCUAAGGAGCUGGACCAGGUGGCUUUCCAGACUUUGCUCAGCAAUGAGCUGAGCCACCAGCUCACGAACCCAGAGGACCAGAAGGCAGCACUGGACAUGUUUAAGACGGUGGAUGCCAACAACGAUCAGAAAAUCUCCUUCGACGAGUACUGGGAUCUCAUCGUAGAGAUCUGCCGAGUGAUCCGGCGCAGCCAUUAUAACGACUAGUGACCGGGGAGCUGUGUCUAGUGGGGAAACUGAGGCAUGCACCGCAAUGGGAAAUGCCCCCAAGUCCUUUGCCUGAUGCACUCAAAGCAAACCUGCACCUCCCCCACACCACCACAUCCCCACUAAACCCAGGGACCUUAAUCUGUCUACUUGCUGGGACCUCCCCAAGCCCUUCCCGUUCCGCACGUCACGUGCUGCUGCAGCUGCCCCUGUUCCCCUCACCUGGAUCCCACCCUGAUCAAACCUCGGUCUUUGCUCCCAAGCUGCCCAUCUUUUCAUAACCCAAUGGCCCCUUCCCUCAGGUCGCCUGGGAAGGCAGAUCAGAAUUGUAUGUUGCUAACGCUGUUGCAAGCAUCACAAGGCAUUUUGGGAAGGGUUAAAGAUGUGAGUGCAGAGUGGGCGAUUCCUUUGCAGGUUGCGAGAGGCCAAAGGGAGAGGAAGGAAGAGAGCAGACAACGGGUUACCUCGACACUUCAGCUCCAAAGAGAAGAUGCUGGCCCCAGUCCAAUGUCACGGCGCUCGACAAGCUGAGCAGGGCUGCAGAGAUUGCAAAAACGAGCGAGACGGCAAGGUCAGUGAAGGGGAAAACAAAGUCCCACAUCCCUGGAGCUGAUGUGUUUUAGAAAAGCUGAGGAGGCCACAGAAAGCAGGUUUGGACUGGUACAAAGAGCACCAGGAACAGAGGUCCCUGAACGAAACACCCCCCAAAGAACCGAGGACUUAAAAACCCUCCCGAGAACCAAAACAAGUUGGAGAAAAACAGCAGAUCCUGGACGACCUGUGCAUGGGACAAAAACUCCUGUCCACCUCUCCCCCUCUUCUUCUUACGUUACACCCAGGCUUGGCCAGCUUCCGGUAGUGCGGGUGUGAGUAUGAAAGGGGGUUAGGGCUUGGGGCACUAACGCUUUCUUCCUUCCUCUGAGUGACAUGGGAACCCCCAGCACUCUCCGCUCUUAUUUCAUUAAUAAAGUUUUAAAACUUAGACA
ensembl:lncRNA